GCGGGGUAACACGAAGUGGUAGACGCACCAGAUUUGGGUUCUGGCGCCGCAAAGGUGGUGCGAGUUCAAGUCUCGCCUCCCGCACCA
rnacentral:tRNA from 1 species